CUCCAAUCCCCAUGACAGUAUGUUUAGCAUACACACUCCUGCCACCACCUUCCCUUGUUUGAACGAUACAUUGCAGCGAUCAGCUCGAUUUGAAGCAACAAGAAGGCUGGAAGAAAGUGGACAUGCAAGAGCUGUAAGAAAACAUCGGCUGUGGCAAAGGAAAAAGAAAGCUGUGUCUCUGCACAAAAGGAUGACAGGUACAGAGCUACUGGGUUUAUCAGCAUCUUCUUUGCAAGUCUUUUCCAUCGGUGAUUUAAAUUCUUCUCAUUGUUUCAGAAAACGAAAAUCUUCUUAAGAUUUAGAAGGAUUCUUGUGCUCCCACCAAAACUGUUAAAUGUUUCCAAACUUUCCAGCUAUGCAGCAGCAAUCCAGCUCCUGGGUAACUGCAAUUACUGUGAUGGCACAAGUGUUUGAGAUAUACAGCUCCGGAAAGCAAAUGUUCACAUCUCCCCAUAUGUGGGGGGUCAAGUCUGAGCUUCAAAGGUCAGCCAUCCACAUUAGGGGGAAUGGAGCUUCCUGGCUACUUUACUACCACCGUUUUUAGCAUAUAAAUGCAUUGCAGUGCUCCUACAACACAAGCAGAUGAAUUUACAGGCUUUGCUUUCAGAGCAGAUGCAUUUUUUUUUUGUCAGCUGUGCCCCUAACGACAAUUGAUGGUUCAGGUUGAAUGCAUGUUGUUCUGCUAUUUUUAUGUGUGGUUAUUGGGAUUGCUUCUUGUUCAUGUGAUGGUAGCUGCCUGCCAGCUGGUGGCUGGAUUCUACAGGACAAUUAGCAAUUUUCCCCAUCUGGUGAAUAGAUUUACUCCGCAUGCAUCUUGCAUGUGAUAAUGUCUGAGGCUCAAAUAGAGAUGUUUCAGUGAAAGGCUGUUCUUCACUAUCCAGAACAAGGCUUUUUCCUGUAUGUUUUGCAUGUUUUCAGGGAAGUAUGGUUUUCUGAGAGUGGUGGAGGUGCUGUUUAAGUGGUUUGUAGUGCUCCAGUUCGGCUGGGGUGCUUGCAGUUCUCCUGGAAGUGAAACAAAACUACAGGAAUUGUGCUCCUGAUUUGCUGACUGAUUAAUAAAUAUCAAGGUUUUAUUUUUCA
ensembl:lncRNA